AGAGUUUGAUUCUGGCUCAGGAUGAACGCCGGCGGUGUGCCUAAUACAUGCAAGUCGUACGCACUGGCCCAACUGAUUGAUGGUGCUUGCACCUGAUUGACGAUGGAUCACCAGUGAGUGGCGGACGGGUGAGUAACACGUAGGUAACCUGCCCCGGAGCGGGGGAUAACAUUUGGUAACAGAUGCUAAUACCGCAUAACAACAAAAGCCACAUGGCUUUUGUUUGAAAGAUGGCCUUGGCUAUCACUCUGGGAUGGACCUGCGGUGCAUUAGCUAGUUGGUAAGGUAACGGCUUACCAAGGCGAUGAUGCAUAGCCGAGUUGAGAGACUGAUCGGCCACAAUGGAACUGAGACACGGUCCAUACUCCUACGGGAGGCAGCAGUAGGGAAUCUUCCACAAUGGGCGCAAGCCUGAUGGAGCAACACCGCGUGAGUGAAGAAGGGUUUCGGCUCGUAAAGCUCUGUUGUUGGAGAAGAACGUGCGUGAGAGUAACUGUUCACGCAGUGACGGUAUCCAACCAGAAAGUCACGGCUAACUACGUGCCAGCAGCCGCGGUAAUACGUAGGUGGCAAGCGUUAUCCGGAUUUAUUGGGCGUAAAGCGAGCGCAGGCGGUUGCUUAGGUCUGAUGUGAAAGCCUUCGGCUUAACCGAAGAAGUGCAUCGGAAACCGGGCGACUUGAGUGCAGAAGAGGACAGUGGAACUCCAUGUGUAGCGGUGGAAUGCGUAGAUAUAUGGAAGAACACCAGUGGCGAAGGCGGCUGUCUGGUCUGCAACUGACGCUGAGGCUCGAAAGCAUGGGUAGCGAACAGGAUUAGAUACCCUGGUAGUCCAUACCGUAAACGAUGAGUGCUAGGUGUUGGAGGGUUUCCGCCCUUCAGUGCCGGAGCUAACGCAUUAAGCACUCCGCCUGGGGAGUACGACCGCAAGGUUGAAACUCAAAGGAAUUGACGGGGGCCCGCACAAGCGGUGGAGCAUGUGGUUUAAUUCGAAGCUACGCGAAGAACCUUACCAGGUCUUGACAUCUUGCGCUAACCUUAGAGAUAAGGCGUUCCCUUCGGGGACGCAAUGACAGGUGGUGCAUGGUCGUCGUCAGCUCGUGUCGUGAGAUGUUGGGUUAAGUCCCGCAACGAGCGCAACCCUUGUUACUAGUUGCCAGCAUUAAGUUGGGCACUCUAGUGAGACUGCCGGUGACAAACCGGAGGAAGGUGGGGACGACGUCAGAUCAUCAUGCCCCUUAUGACCUGGGCUACACACGUGCUACAAUGGACGGUACAACGAGUCGCAAGCUCGCGAGAGUAAGCUAAUCUCUUAAAGCCGUUCUCAGUUCGGACUGUAGGCUGCAACUCGCCUACACGAAGUCGGAAUCGCUAGUAAUCGCGGAUCAGCAUGCCGCGGUGAAUACGUUCCCGGGCCUUGCACACACCGCCCGUCA
rnacentral:rRNA from 1 species